rnacentral:tRNA from 1 species
GCCGAUGUAGCUCAGGGGUAGAGCAACUGAUUCGUAAUCAGUAGGUCGUCGGUUCAAUUCCGACCAUCGGCUCCA